GUAGGUGGCAAGCGUUGUCCGGAAUUAUUGGGCGUAAAGCGCACGCAGGCGGUUCUUUAAGUCUGAUGUGAAAGCCCACGGCUCAACCGUGGAGGGUCAUUGGAAACUGGAGAACUUGAGUACAGAAGAGGAAAGCGGAAUUCCACGUGUAGCGGUGAAAUGCGUAGAGAUGUGGAGGAACACCAGUGGCGAAGGCGGCUUUCUGGUCUGUAACUGACGCUGAGGCGCGAAAGCGUGGGGAGCAAACAGGGAUUAGAUACCCUGGUAGUCCACGCCGUAAACGAUGAGUGCUAAGUGUUAGGGGGUUUCCGCCCCCUUAGUGCUGCAGCUAACGCAUUAAGCACUCCGCCUGGGGAUACGGCCGCAAGGCUG
rnacentral:rRNA from 1 species